AUUGAACGCUGGCGGUAUGCUUAACACAUGCAAGUCGAACGAGUGGCGGACGGGUGAGUAAUGUCUGGGAAACUGCCUGAUGGAGGGGGAUAACUACUGGAAACGGUAGCUAAUACCGUAUACCAUCAGAUGUGCCCAGAUGGGAUUAGCUAGUAGGUGGGGUAAUGGCUCACCUAGGCGACGAUCCCUAGCUGGUCUGAGAGGAUGACCAGCCACACUGGAACUGAGACACGGUCCAGACUCCUACGGGAGGCAGCAGUGGGGAAUAUUGCACAAUGGGCGCAAGCCUGAUGCAGCCAUGCCGCGUGUAUGAAGAAGGCCUUAGGGUUGUAAAGUACUUUCAGCGGGGAGGCGUUACCCGCAGAAGAAGCACCGGCUAACUCCGUGCCAGCAGCCGCGGUAAUAC
rnacentral:rRNA from 1 species